rnacentral:rRNA from 1 species
AUGCCCAUUGGUGUUCCAAAAGUACCUUACCGGAUUCCUGGAGAUGAAGAAGCGACUUGGGUUGACUUAUACAAUGUUAUGUAUCGCGAAAGGACACUUUUUUUAGGCGGGUGGCUAAUCUCAGGAAUGGCUAUUUUUGAUAUGAUGCAAAUGGUGACACCAGAUAUAUAUAUACAUAUAUACAAUAUGCCUCGGAAUAGCCGCCUCCAUGGCGUCCUUCAUUCUGCUUGGAGGAGAACCACCAAGCGUAUAGCAUUCCCUCACGCGAGAAUUAUGCUUCACCAACCUGCUAGUGCUUAUUAUCGGGCAAGGACACCAGAAUUUUUACUAGAAGUAGAAGAGUUACACAAAGUUCGCGAAAUGAUCACAAGGGUUUAUGCAGUAAGAACAGGCAAGCCUUUUUUGGUUGUAUCCGAAGACAUGGAAAGGGAUGUUUUUAUGUUAGCAGACGAAGCCAAAGCUUAUGGACUUGUCGAUAUUGUAGGGGAUGAAAUGAUUGACAAGCACUGCGAUACUGAUCCAGUGUGGUUUCCAAAAAUGUUUAAGGAUUGGUAG